rnacentral:misc_RNA from 1 species
GGACAGCCCCAGUCCUCUACCCCUGCCCAAGGGGGAUUUUCCUUUGGAUCAUCUGCCACUCCAGCAUUGGCCACACCCGGUGGGUUUUCUUUUGGACAAAACCCUGGAAGUGUCCCCCAGGCCACACCCUCUACCCAGCCAAAUGCCCCCGCUUCCACUGGCACACAGUUAGGGGGACUGGCAGGAUUUGCCAUGGGUAAAAUGCCAACAGCCUCCAUAGGAACCCCAGCAGCAGCACCUGUAGGAGCCUCAGCUGCCCCGACAGGAACUACAGGUCUGACUUUAGGGGCCACUCUUGGCACAGCAGGGGCAGGUUUCAGCUUAACUGGACAGCCUGCAGCUGCUACUAAGCCAGUGGGAAUUUCCCUGGGUACCACCCAGGCCACCAGUACAGCGGGCCCCACUCUCGGGACUCUGGGAACUGCUGCCUCCACAACAAUCACAGGAAAUCCCCUGGGGACAGCCUCCAGUGGUGGUGGGAUUACCUUUGGCACACAGAAAACAACAGCGGCGCCGACCCUGGGCUCACUGAUUGGUGGUGCUACUACAGCUGCUAGCACAACACAGAGCACCCUUGGCUUUCCAACACCAGUUGCUGCUACAAGUUCGGCGGCAGUUAGCUCUGCAGCGGGAGUAAUGGUGGCGGCAGCCAGUGCAGGCUCCAAGAUGUCGUACCAACAGCUAGAGGAGAACAUCAACAAGUGGAUGUCGGAGCUGGAGAAACAGGAACAGGACUUUCUGGAGCUCGCUACCCAGGUCAACGCCUGGGAUCGCCUCCUUGUGGAGAACGGAGAAAAGAUCACAACACUAAACAGUGACAUGGAGCGUGUUAAGGUAGAUCAGCAGAAGCUUGACCAUGAGUUGGACUUCAUUCACUCCCAGCAGAGAGAGCUGGAGGAACUCCUGGCCCCGCUGGAGAAAGCCGUGGAGCAGCAGCCGAACAUCAACAUUCAGCAGCAUUCCGCACUGGAGAGGGAAAACACGUAAGUCAGCUACCAAUCAGAUUCAUUCAUGAUAUUGGAUUAUGGGAAAUUUGGAUACCGAUAUGUUGUCUUUAUUUCUGCAACUUAUGAUUCAAAAUAUACAGAGGUGCAAUAGAAAUCAUUUUGAUUAUUGGUAAUUUGGGGAUGAAAUUUCAAUUUUUAGAAAAGCAUUUCUAUUGUAUGUGUUGUGUUUUUAGAUAUCAGUUAGCCGAGAAUAUUGAUGCUCAGCUGAAGAGAAUGUUGUCAGAUUUGAAGGAAAUUAUCGACCACUUGAAUUCAUCAAAUACAAACCAAGACCAAACAGACCCAAUUCAGCAAAUUACAAAGAUUCUCAACUCUCACAUGGAUUCCCUGCAAUGGAUUGAUCAGAAUUCAACUCUUCUUGGAAGGAAAGUUGAUGAAAUUUCAAAACAGAUGGAGGUUCAAAAGAGAGAACAGGAAAGGAAUUUCAGACUUGUGUACAACUGAUGGUAGCUACCUACCAGUAUUCACAUAUUCACAUAACUGAUCUGUGAUUCAUGGAUCAAAACAGACUGGGCAUCACAGAUUUUGAAAAUGUGCGGAUAUGAGAUUUCUAUAAUAGAUCUAAUGUGAUUGUUGAAAAUGUACUUCUUCUCAUUUAAAAAGACCUUGUUGGUUUCAAGGAGAACAUUGAACUGUUGUUUGUGAAUUGCAACAUUUAUUAUUGUCCUUUUCAUAUGUACAGGUUGUCCCCAAAGACUAAACAACAAUAAAGGUUCCAGAUUACAGUUAACAAUAU